UUCCGGUUGAUCCUGCCGGACCCCACUGCUAUCGAGGUGGGACUAAGCCAUGCUAGUUGAGCGCACAGAACUAUGUCUGUGAGCGGCACACUGCUCAGUAACACGUAGCUAACCUACCCUUAGGACGUGGACAACCCCGAGAAAUUGGGGCUAAUCCGCGAUAGAUGUAUUGUCCUGGAAUGGUAUUACGUCUAAAGGUAUCCCAUACAUGUUUGGUAUACGCCUAAGGAUGGGGCUGCGGCCGAUCAGGCUGUUGGUGAGGUAAUGGCUCACCAAACCUUUGACCGGUACGGGCCAUGAGAGUGGUAGCCCGGAGAUGGACACUGAGACAAGGGUCCAGGCCCUACGGGGCGCAGCAGGCGCGAAACCUCCUCAAUGCACUUACGUGCGAAGGGGCUACCUCGAGUGCCACCUGAUGAAGGUGGCUUUUCCUAGGUCUAAAUAGCCUUGGGAAUAAGAGGGGGGCAAGACUGGUGUCAGCCGCCGCGGUAACACCAGCCCCUCGAGUGGUGGGGAUGAUUAUUGGGCCUAAAGCGUCCGUAGCCUGCCGUAAAAGUUUCUCGUUAAAUCCAGCGUCUCAAGCGUUGGACCGCGGGAAAUACUGCACGGCUAGAGAGUGGGAGAGGUCAGCGGUAUUCUGGGGGUAGGGGCGAAAUCCUUUGAUCCCCGGAGGACCACCAGUGGCGAAGGCUGCUGACUAGAACACGUCUGACGGUCAGGGACGAAAGCUGGGGUAGCGAACCGGAUUAGAUACCCGGGUAGUCCCAGCCGUAAACGAUGCAUGCUAGGUGUUGGGUUGGCCACGAGCCACCCCAGUGCCGCAGGGAAGCCGUUAAGCAUGCCGCCUGGGAAGUACGAUCGCAAGGUUGAAACUUAAAGGAAUUGGCGGGGGAGCACCACCAGGCGUGAAGCCUGCGGGUU
rnacentral:rRNA from 1 species